ACAAGCCUUGUGUCAUGCUCCCCCACUUGGGGAAAAAAAAAACUCGCCUUUGAGUUAGAAUGGCUUGUCACGAUCGAAAAACAUUGCCAUAACAAUUCACCAUGCUCCUCACUUAGAAUAAACUUUUCCAUUUCGAAGUGGAGGAGAAUUAGGAACUAGGUUAAGAGAGCACAUCCCAUGGAGUUCUUUAUUGAUACAAACAAAGAUGACGAGCAAAAUUAAGUUUCACCUUUGUUUUGACAAGAAUACUUGGACAAAUAAAAUCA
rnacentral:misc_RNA from 1 species